rnacentral:tRNA from 1 species
GAGCGUAUAGCUCAGUGGUAGAGCACAUGCCUAGCAUGCACAAGGUCAUGGGUUCAAUCCCCAGUAUCUACA